rnacentral:rRNA from 1 species
UGGGGAAUAUUGGACAAUGGGCGAAAGCCUGAUCCAGCCAUGCCGCGUGAGUGAUGAAGGUCUUCGGAUUGUAAAGCUCUUUAGGUGGGGAAGAUAAUGACGGUACCCACAGAAUAAGUCACGGCUAACUCUGUGCCAGCAGCCGCGGUAAUACAGAGGUGGCGAACGUUGUUCGGAUUUACUGGGCGUAAAGCGCUUGUAGGCUGUUUGGUAAGUUGGAUGUGAAAGCCCCGGGCUCAACCCGGGAAUUGCAUUCAAAACUGCCUAACUAGAAUCACAGAGAGGGUGACGGAAUUCCGAGUGUAGAGGUGAAAUUCGUAGAUAUUCGGAGGAACAUCAGUUGCGAAGGCGGUUGCCUGGCUGUGUAUUGACGCUGAGAAGCGAAAGCGUGGGGAGCAAA